GUCUCAAGCGUUGUUCGGAUUCAUUGGGCGUAAAGGGUGUGUAGGUGGCGCGCUAAGUCGGGUGUGAAAUUUCGGAGCUUAACUCCGAAACCGCAUUCGAUACUGGCGUGCUUGAGGACUGGAGAGGAGACUGGAAUUUACGGUGUAGCAGUGAAAUGCGUAGAUAUCGUAAGGAAGACCAGUGGCGAAGGCGGGUCUCUGGACAGUUCCUGACACUGAGACACGAGGGCCAGGGGAGCAAACGGGAUUAGAUACCCCGGUAGUCCUGGCAGUAAACGGUGCACGUUUGGUGUGGGGGGAUUCGACCCCUUCUGCGCCGGAGCUAACGCGUUAAACGUGCCGCCUGGGGAGUACGGUCGCAAGAUUAAAACUCAAAGAAAUUGACGGGGGCCCGCACAAGCGGUGGAGUAUGUGGCUCAAUUCGAUGCAACGCGAAGAACCUUACCAGGCCUUGACAUGCAUCUCUAAACCGGUGAAAGCCGGCGAGUGUCGAAAGACACAAUUUGCACAGGUGCUGCAUGGCUGUCGUCAGCUCGUGUCGUGAGAUGUUGGGUUAAGUCCCGCAACGAGCGCAACCCCUGUGAACUGUUGCCACGGAACCGAGAGGUUCCAGCACUCUGUUCAGACUGCCUCGCUUAAACGAGGAGGAAGGUGGGGACGACGUCAAGUCAGUAUGGCCCUUACGGCCUGGGCUGCACACGUACUACAAUGCCCGGUACAGAACGAUCCAAUACCGCGAGGUGGAGGAAAUCACUUAAAAC
rnacentral:rRNA from 1 species